CCUAAAUUUUAACCUUGCAGUUAUAAUAGAUUUUCUUCCUUGGAGAAGCCCACCGGGAUUUCACCCCGAGUUACCUUGGAUCUGUGGGCUCAGGAUGAUAGUUCCAGAGGAUCCCCUGAGCAGCCACAUAGAACUGCCUUACCCGCGCGGCCUCUGCCUGGUGGCUGCCCCAGCCCGCCCAGCGGGUGCCCAGAACCACCAGGAGGAAGAAGCGCGGGCAGACUGGGAGCAUGGCCCUUGUCCUGCCGCGCGCUGCCAACGCCGACAGUGUUCAGUGCUCUGUCCCUUUUGCGUGCUGUCCUGGCUCCCUGGAGGACUAAGAAGCUGCAGGGCACAGGGACAUAUGACAUACAUUUGUGCGUUCACUGGAAGGCCCAGCUGUCAUUUGGAGGAUUGUAACUGUGACCACAUUGGUGGUAGACAAAGUGCUAUAUACGGACCUUGUUGAACAAAACACGAAGAGCUUGAUAUUUGGGGAAGUCAAAUUAUACAUCCAAACAAUGGCCUUUGGGUGCUUUGGUGGAGGAAAGUCUGCAGUCAGAUGUGGCAUCCUGGCUCUGUUCCAGAUCUUCUGUGACCCCCUAGUACCAUCUGGAGGUUUCUGUGAAAGUCCCAGCAGCAGAGGUGUAAACAACCUCAUGGAUAUGAAACAAGGAAGACCCAGGAGAUUUUAAAGCAGGCAUCCCCUUAAACUAGAGGUCUGCCUUCCACCAACAUUGCAACUCUUCAAUCCCAAGAGAAAGACCUUCGGUUUUCCAGAGCCUGGUCAACUGGCGAGGCAGAUGCUCCAGUGCCUUGGACUAAAUCCGAUUUUCAGCAACAACAAAGUAACAACAAGCCACAGACCAGAGCAGAAACAUUUGCUCCUGGUUCUGUGGCUGAGCUGGAGGAAGAGAGCCUCAGCAAAUGCCGUGGAGUUACAGUCAAGUGUGACAGGAAACUUGACAUCUGCAUGUGGAAUCCUGAGAAAUCAAAUGAUACAUCGGGAGACCUGGUCUCUGAAAAAGAAACAAACUAAUUAAAUGACUGGUUCCUUAAAAGAUAAAGAAAUCUCUCACUGUGCACACCCCCUGACGUCUGAGACAGUUGCCUCUUUCUGGGUUCUACAGUCUACCAGCAGGAAAGGGGGUUUUUCACUGUACUGUUUGAAAAGAUGCCUUCAGAUGGUUUCUGUUCGGGUAGUACAGGGGAUUUUGAGGCAAGCCCACACUGUCAACUUCACUUCGUUAGCAACAACGGGAUCUCACACAUCCUGGAACAGGCUAUGUGCUGCUAGACCUCACAUCUGGGCGGGAAUGGAAAUCCUGGGAUAAAUUCCAUUGCCCCCUCUCUGUUACAUGUACUUGUUGCCAAUACAAUUUUACCAUAGCUUAACAUUCUAGUACAUGCUUAAAAAUCAAUACAUAUGAUGUACAGAAAAUUCAAGACUGGU